rnacentral:rRNA from 1 species
AACGAACGCUGGCGGCAUGCCUAACACAUGCAAGUCGAACGAGACCUUCGGGUCUAGUGGCGCACGGGUGCGUAACGCGUGGGAACCUGCCCUUAGGUUCGGAAUAACUCUCCGAAAGGGGUGCUAAUACCGGAUAAUGUCUUCGGACCAAAGAUUUAUCGCCUUUGGAUGGGCCCGCGUUGGAUUAGCUAGUUGGUAGGGUAAAAGCCUACCAAGGCGACGAUCCAUAGCUGGUCUGAGAGGAUGAUCAGCCACACUGGGACUGAGACACGGCCCAGACUCCUACGGGAGGCAGCAGUGGGGAAUAUUGGACAAUGGGCGAAAGCCUGAUGCAGCAAUGCCGGGUGAGUGAUGAAGGCCUUAGGGUUGUAAAGCUCUUUUACCCGGGAUGAUAAUGACGGUACCGGGAGAAUAAGCUCCGGCUAACUCCGUG